GGUGGGAUGGUCAAGUGGGAAAAGUGCUUGACCUGGUACUCUUAAAAGUUUCCUGUUUUGGCAGGUUACAAAAAGAGCGUCAGUUCAAAUCUGGCUCCCAUCA